GAACAACAUUGGGAUUAUGUCAGGUGAACACAUAUUGAAGUCAUUAGAUGAAACUUUCCCAGUGCCAUCUGAGGCUGAAGGGAUAUAGAAAAGUUCCUAUCCUUGAGCUCAUAAUCUUGGUUAUACAUUUUUUAAAGACAGAACAUAAAUAUCAGGAUGCUCCUUAACCAAACUAUUUAGCAAACAAAGGCAUGAAAUUUUGCAGAACAGGG
rnacentral:misc_RNA from 1 species